GUCUACGGCCAUGCCACCCUGAACAAGCCCGAUCUCGUCUGGUCUCGGAAGCUAAGGCUGGGCCUGGUUAGUACUUGGAUGGGAGAUCACUUAGGAAGACCAGGUGCUGUAGGCG
rnacentral:rRNA from 1 species